AAUUUGUUCCCCGAGUCACCGAAACACCCUGUAUAUACUUAUUAUACCUAAAGCAAUCUGGAACAUCUGUUAUUUUCACUACAACAAUUCUAUAAAGGACACUUUACUCUUUAAAAAUUAAAGUUUUUGGAAGUUUCAUAAACAACCGGUCGAGGACGUGUAUAUAGACGUCCUGGUGAACGCUACGCAGCCGCUACUACACAGGAAGUGGAUAGAUUUGGUCGGGGAUCUGUUAUGGUUUGGGCUGGAAUCAGUAUAGACAACAGAACUGAUCUUGUUGUUGUUCCUGGUAGACUAAAUGCCAUGAAUUACAUCGAAAACAUCUUGGAGGACCAUGUGGUACCUGCUUCAUAUGGGGUCGGUCAAGAUUUCAUCCUAAUGCAGGACAAUACAAAGUCACAUACCGGUGGGAUCACCAGAAACUUUUUGCAAAAACGUGGAAUUCAGGUCAUGGAAUGGCCGGCGUUAAGUCCUGACCUGAAUCCUAUUGAACACAUUUGGGAUCAGCUUGACCGACACGUUCGCAAGCGCCCUAAUCCACCAUUAACCAUACAGGAACUGACACAUGCCCUGAGGAAUGGGAAAGCAUACCCCAAGAAUUACUUCGCAGACUAGUGCGAAGCAUGCCACGCAGGUGUGAGGAAGUGAUUCGUGCUGGUGGUAGGCAUACACGGUAUUAAACCUCACCAAUCCACAGAAAACCCGACUCUCAUCGAUACUAUGAGAGUCGUUUUCACUUUGUUUUGCGUUAUUAAUUUACAUUUUUAAGUGUAACUUAGAAGUAACUAAGAGUUGUAACAUUGUUUUUGUAAUUUUCUUUAGUUAAAUAUAUGCCGUUGAAGUAAA